ensembl:snRNA LOC120098444 U6 spliceosomal RNA
GCUCACUCCUGCUGCGCCUAUUCUGAAAUUGGACCGACACAGAGAGGAGGAGCAGGGCCCCUGAGCAAGGAUGAUGUACACAUUCUUUAAGCACUCCAUAUCCAA